GACGAACCGUGCGAACGUUGUUCGGAAUCACUGGGCUUAAAGGGCGCGUAGGCGGCUUGCCAAGUCGGGGGUGAAAUCCGGCAGCUUAACUGUCGAAGUGCCUUCGAUACUGGCAAGCUCGAGGGAGGUAGGGGUCUGUGGAACUGCUGGUGGAGCGGUGAAAUGCGUUGAUAUCAGCAGGAACGCCGGUGGCGAAAGCGACGGACUGGACCUCUUCUGACGCUGAGGCGCGAAAGCUAGGGGAGCAAACGGG
rnacentral:rRNA from 2 species